GUGGGGAAUUUUGGACAAUGGGCGCAAGCCUGAUCCAGCAAUGCCGCGUGCAGGAAGAAGGCCUUCGGGUUGUAAACUGCUUUUGUACGGAACGAAACGGUCCUGGCUAAUAUCCGGGGCUAAUGACGGUACCGUAAGAAUAAGCACCGGCUAACUACGUGCCAGCAGCCGCGGUAAUACGUAGGGUGCGAGCGUUAAUCGGAAUUACUGGGCGUAAAGCGUGUGCAGGCGGUGCUGUAAGACAGGCGUGAAAUCCCCGGGCUCAACCUGGGAAUUGCGCUUGUGACUGCAGUGCUGGAGUGCGGCAGAGGGGGAUGGAAUUCCGCGUGUAGCAGUGAAAUGCGUAGAUAUGCGGAGGAACACCGAUGGCGAAGGCAAUCCCCUGGGCCUGCACUGACGCUCAUGCACGAAAGCGUGGGGAGCAAACAGGAUUAGAAACCCCAGUAGUCC
rnacentral:rRNA from 1 species